ACAACUAUGGCGGCUGCCGGUGGUAAUUUGAAAGUGCGAAGAGUAUUGAGGAGCGUAAAGAACAGACCCGGAUCGUCAGGGCCGAGGUGCUGCGUCAGGCUAAAGCCAAUUUUGAAAAAGAAGAAAGACGUAAAGAACUUAAGCGACUUCGGGGUGAGGAUACAUGGAUGCUACCUGAUGUGAAUGAGCGAAUUGAACAAUUCUCACAGGAACACUCUGUGAAGAAAAAGAAGAAAAAAGACAAACACUCAAAAAAAGUAAAGAAAGAGAAGAAAAAAAAGAGCAAGAAACAGAAAUGUGAAAAAUACAAUGAGUCAUCUGACAGUUCAUCAAGCUCUGAAGAUGAGUGGGUUGAAGCUGUUCCACCUCAGACUCUUGGCAAGGAAAAGGCCUGGAGAGUGAAAGGUGAAAAGUCAGAACAAAAAGAUGACGACCAAGUUAUUCAGAGGGACGAAUGGAUGACUGUUGAUUUUAUGUCUGUUAAAACUGUGUCAUCAUCAUCACUCAAAGCUGAGAAGGAAACAAUGAAGAAAAUAGAGCAAGAGAAAACUCAAGCACUUGAGCAGUCCAAACUCCUGGAAAGAGAAUUGAAUCCAUAUUGGAAGGAUGGUGGGACAGGUCUUCCCCCAGAAGACUGUAGUGUAUCAUCGAUUACUAAAGUUUCAGUGGUAGAAGAUGGUGGAUUGAGCUGGCUAAGGAAGUCUUACCAAAGAAUGAAGGAACAAGCUGAGAAACAAAACAGAAAUUUUGAGGAUGUUGUAGCUGAAAGAUACGGGUCAAUGGAAAUAUUUCAGUCGAAAUUAGAAGCAGCUGAAAAAACUGUAUCUACAAAAGAAGAUUAUAGACGAGAACAGUGGAAGAAACCAGCAUUUUCAGAUAAAGCACAAAAUAGUCAAGAAAGUAGAAAAUCAGACUUAGUAAAACAUAACAGUUCAAGGGAUAGAUACACUACAAUGGAUAUUACAAACAACAGCAAUAAAGGGAAGUUUAGUGGUGAUGAAAAAGGUAAGAAAUCUGAAUCUUUAGAAACAUGUAGAAGAGAAUCCAACCCAUGGCAGAGUCAAGAGUUUUCUUCCCUUGGAAAUCUGAGACCUAAGUUUUUAAGACCCUCUGAUGAUGAUGAACUAUCAUAUCACAGCAAGGGCAGAAAUUUUGAACCAGCUAGUUCAUCUUCAGCAUUGGUAGCUCGGGGUUCUUCGCAUUGUGGUUUUCGAAAACCUACUGAGGUGAGUGAAGAACGUUUAACAUCGUGGAGUCAGUCUGAUGGAACAGGAGACAAGAAACAUUCAAAUGAAAAGCCACUGGAAACCAGCAGCAGUGUUGAAUACCGGCACAUUCCAGAAGAUGCGAGAGAAAAAUCACAAGGCAGAAGCUUGAGAGAUGAAUAUCUGCGGGAUGCAAAGUCUACAUCUGCGAGUCCAGAAGAUGGGUCUGUCCACAUCCUGAGUGUUGAUGAGAAGAACAAGUUGGGAGCCAAGAUUAUCAAGGCAGAGAUGAUGGGGAAUAUGGAAUUAGCUGAACAGCUUAAAUCUCAACUAGAAAAGGCAAAUAAAUUCAAAGAAACUAUAACACAGAUAUCAAGAAAAUCUGGAGAAGAGAAUGAAGACGAGCAAGAAGUGAUCCUUGUUAGAACAGAUCAGUCUGGAAGAGUAUGGCCUGUGAACACACCAGGAAAAUCUCCGGAACCAAAAGGAGGAAGAAGAAAGAGACAGAUGGUUUCAACCCAUGAGGAAAAAGAAAGGGUCAGAUACUUUCAUGAUGAUGAUAAUCUAAGCCUAAACGAUUUAGUCAGAAAUGAAAAGAUGGGAACAGCAGAAAAUCAAAACAACCUUUUUAUGAGAAUGGCAUCUAAGUUUAUGGGAAAAGCAGAUGGAGACUAUUAUACUCUGGAUGACAUGUUUGUCUCCAAAGCAGCCGAGAGAGAGUGUCGCAGCAAAGAAGAGAAACAGAGGAGGAAAGCUGUUGCUGAGCAUCGGAAUCUUGCUGCACAGAUGGAGAAAUGUCUGUAUUGUUUUGACAGCUCUCAGUUUCCCAAGCACCUUAUUAUUGCAAUAGGACUUAAGUUCUGGAGGCUAGAAAAUCCAAGAUCAAGGUGCCAGCAGAUUCAGUGUCGGGUUUACUUAUGUUUACCCAACUCCUGCUCUCUCACUGAGGGCCACUGCCUGAUAGCCCCUUUGCAGCACCACAGAGCAGCUACUUUAUUGGAUGAAGACAUCUGGGAGGAAGUUCAGAUGUUCAGGAAAUCAUUGGUAAAGAUGUUUGAAGAUAAAGGAUUGGACUGUAUCUUUUUAGAAACUAAUAUGCGUACCAAGAGACAGUCCCACAUGGCUUAUGAAUGUAUUCCUCUCCCAAAGGAGGUGGGAGAUAUGGCUCCUAUCUAUUUUAAGAAAGCCAUAAUGGAAUCUGAUGAAGAAUGGUCCAUGAAUAAGAAAUUGAUUGAUCUCUCUUCAAAAGACAUCAGGAAGUCUGUUCCCAAAGGUUAACCUUAUUUCUCUGUGGAUUUUGGCCUCCGAGGAGGGUUUGCCCAUGUCAUUGAAGAUCAGCACAAAUUUCCUCCAUACUUUGGAAAGGAAAUCAUUGGUGGGAUGUUGGAUAUAGAACCAAGACUUUGGAGGAAAGGAAUCCGAGAAAGCUUUGAGGAUCAGAGGAAGAAGGCGCUACAGUUUGCUCAGUGGUGGAAACCAUAUGACUUCACCAAAAGUAAAAAAUGUUGAGGCCUAACUUUCAUUUUUAAUUUUCUCUUCAGAUCCUGUUCAGUUUUAUUUCCAUUAUAUAUCACUGAACACUUGACCCUCGGAUCAUAGAAAGAGAUUGACAGCAGCAUACAGCUCUGGGUUCCUGACAACUCAUGCAGUUGUAGUGUUUUCUUCCCCACCUGCUCCUAAAGACUUCAUUCAUU